AACAAACGCUGGCGGCGUGCCUAAUACAUGCAAGUCGAACGGGGAAAGCUUUCGGGUGAGUACUAGUGGCGCACGGGUGAGGAACGCGUGGAUAAUCUGCCUUAGAGUGGGGGAUAACUAGUCGAAAGACUAGCUAAUACCGCAUAAGACCACAGGAGCUGCGGCUCAAGGGGUCAAAGGUUUUUCGCUCUAAGAUGAGUCCGCGUAAGAUUAGCUAGUUGGUGAGGUAACGGCUCACCAAGGCGACGAUCUUUAACUGGUCUGAGAGGAUGAUCAGUCACACUGGAACUGAGACACGGUCCAGACUCCUACGGGAGGCAGCAGUAGGGAAUAUUGCACAAUGGAGGAAACUCUGAUGCAGCGACGCCGCGUGAGUGAUGAAGGCCUUCGGGUCGUAAAGCUCUGUCGCAGGGGGAUAACACAAUGAAGGUACCCUGUAAGAAAGGAUCGGCUAACUUCGUGCCAGCCGCCGCGGUAAAAC
rnacentral:rRNA from 1 species